rnacentral:rRNA from 1 species
UACAGAGGUCUCAAGCGUUGUUCGGAUUCAUUGGGCGUAAAGGGUGCGUAGGUGGCGCGGUAAGUCGGGUGUGAAAUUUCGGAGCUUAACUCCGAAACUGCAUUCGAUACUGCCGUGCUUGAGGACUGGAGAGGAGACUGGAAUUUACGGUGUAGCAGUGAAAUGCGUAGAGAUCGUAAGGAAGACCAGUGGCGAAGGCGGGUCUCUGGACAGUUCCUGACACUGGAGGCACGAAAGCGUGGGGAGCAAACAGG